rfam:Felis catus isolate Cinnamon breed Abyssinian chromosome B2, whole genome shotgun sequence.
GCCUGGGUGGCUCAGUCGGUUGAGCGUCCGACUUCAGCUCAGGCAAUGAUCUCACGGUCCGUGAGUUCGAGCCCCGCAUCGGGCU